rnacentral:rRNA from 1 species
GACGAACCGUGCGAACGUUGUUCGGAUUCACUGGGCUUAAAGGGCGCGUAGGCGGCUUGCCAAGUCAGUGGUGAAAUCUUUCGGCUCAACCGGAAAAUGGCUGCUGAUACUGGCAGGCUGGAGGGAGGUAGGGGCAGAUGGAACUUCCGGUGGAGCGGUGAAAUGCGUAGAUAUCGGAAGGAACGCCGGUGGCGAAAGCGAUCUGCUGGACCUCUUCUGACGCUGAUGCGCGAAAGCCAGGGGAGCAAACGGG